rnacentral:rRNA from 1 species
GAGUUUGAUCAUGGCUCAGAUUGAACGCUGGCGGCAGGCCUAACACAUGCAAGUCGAGCGGUAGAGAGAAGCUUGCUUCUCUUGAGAGCGGCGGACGGGUGAGUAAUGCCUAGGAAUCUGCCUGGUAGUGGGGGAUAACGCUCGGAAACGGACGCUAAUACCGCAUACGUCCUACGGGAGAAAGCAGGGGACCUUCGGGCCUUGCGCUAUCAGAUGAGCCUAGGUCGGAUUAGCUAGUUGGUGAGGUAAUGGCUCACCAAGGCGACGAUCCGUAACUGGUCUGAGAGGAUGAUCAGUCACACUGGAACUGAGACACGGUCCAGACUCCUACGGGAGGCAGCAGUGGGGAAUAUUGGACAAUGGGCGAAAGCCUGAUCCAGCCAUGCCGCGUGUGUGAAGAAGGUCUUCGGAUUGUAAAGCACUUUAAGUUGGGAGGAAGGGCAGUAAAUUAAUACUUUGCUGUUUUGACGUUACCGACAGAAUAAGCACCGGCUAACUCUGUGCCAG